rnacentral:rRNA from 1 species
AAUAUUGCGCAAUGGAGGAAACUCUGACGCAGCGACGCCGCGUGAGCGAUGAAGGUCUUCGGAUCGUAAAGCUCUGUCCUUUGGGAAGCAGGUCUUCUGAAUUGCUGGUACCUACGGAGUCAGACCCGGCUCACUAAGUCCCAGCAGCCGCGGUAAUACGUAGGGGGCAAGCGUUGUCCUGAAUUAUUCGGCGUAAAGGGUGCGUAAGUGGUCUUUUAAGUCAGAUGUGAAAGCCCACGGCUCAACCGUGGGAUUGCAUUUGAAACUGGAGGGCUUGAGUGUCGGAGAGGGUAGUGGAAUGCCCAGUGUAGCGGUGAAAUGCGUAGAUAUUGGGAGGAACACCAGUGGCGAAGGCGACUACCUGGACGAUUACUGACGCUGAUGCACGAAAGCUAGGGGAGCAAACA